rnacentral:rRNA from 1 species
GGCGGAUGGGUGAGUAACACGUGGGCAACCUGCCUGUAAGAUUGGGAUAACUCCGGGAAACCGGUGCUAAUACCGAAUAAUUCUAUUCACCACCUGGUGGAUAGGUAAAAGGCGGCUUUUCGGAGCUGUCACUUACAGAUGGGCCUGCGUCGCAUUAGCUAGUUGGUGGGAUAACGGCCUACCAAGGCGACGAUGCGUAGCCGACCUGAGAGGGUGAUCGGCCACACUGGGACUGAGACACGGCCCAGACUCCUACGGGAGGCAGCAGUAGGGAAUCUUCCACAAUGGACGAAAGUCUGAUGGAGCAAUGCCGCGUGAGCGAAGAAGGUUUUCGGAUCGUAAAGCUCUGUUGUAAGGGAAGAACACGUACGGGAGUAACUGCCCGUACCUUGACGGUACCUUAUUAGAAAGCCACGGCUAACUACGUGCCAGCAGCCGCGGUAAUACGUAGGUGGCAAGCGUUGUCCGGAAUUAUUGGGCGUAAAGCGCGCGCAGGCGGUCCUUUAAGUCUGAUGUGAAAGCCCACGGCUCAACCGUGGAGGGUCAUUGGAAACUGGGGGACUUGAGUACAGAAGAGGAAAGCGGAAUUCCACGUGUAGCGGUGAAAUGCGUAGAGAUGUGGAGGAACACCAGUGGCGAAGGCGGCU